rnacentral:lncRNA from 1 species
AGAAAAGGAAGUGAAAUCCUACUUGGCAAAUCAUAGCUUCUCAAUGGAUUUUUGUAGCCUUUUGGCAUUUUGAACCCCGGGAAUGUAGAAGCUGCAUAAGGAGCUGUUGCUGGGUUCAACUAGCUGCACCAACUGUUAAGGAUAAGGUGAGCCGCCUCUGAAGAAGCCCAUCCAAUCCCCUUGACUCUAAGAGAGCUAAGGCAACUCGUGUGUCUAACCUUCAGAUAGCUAAAUGCAGCCAAGGAAAGUCCAUCUGUAGUCAUCUAAGUCCUCUGACUUUCCCUUCGAUGCUUUUGAAGAAUGUUUGCCUUCUCUACAUUCACAAGCAGUUCACCGUCAGUGGAAAACUGAGAUGUGCCAAUCAGUAGGGAGUGGUUCAUCAUAUUCAGUACUCUGCAAAUGUAAUGCACUGCUGCAGCUGGAAGUGUGCCAGGAGGGAACUCUUGAAAGCUGGAAGAACUGGGUGGACGUGCUUGGAGGCAGGAAGGUAGGUGGGAAUGUUCCUCCACACUUCUGAAUUUACUGUGGUGCCUGCAGAAAGG